AGCGGCGGACGGGUGAGUAAUGCCUGGGGAUAUGCCCUGAUGUGGGGGAUAACUAUUGGAAACGAUAGCUAAUACCGCAUAAUCUCUUCGGAGCAAAGAGGGGGACCUUUGGGCCUCUCGCGUCAGGAUUAGCCCAGGUGGGAUUAGCUUGUUGGUGAGGUAAUGGCUCACCAAGGCAACGAUCCCUAGCUGGUCUGAGAGGAUGAUCAGCCACACUGGAACUGAGACACGGUCCAGACUCCUACGGGAGGCAGCAGUGGGGAAUAUUGCACAAUGGGGGAAACCCUGAUGCAGCCAUGCCGCGUGUGUGAAGAAGGCCUUCGGGUUGUAAAGCACUUUCAGUAGGGAGGAAGGUAGUGUAGUUAACACCUGCACUAUUUGACGUUACCUACAGAAGAAGCACCGGCUAACUCCGUGCCAGCAGCCGCGGUAAUACGGAGGGUGCGAGCGUUAAUCGGAAUUACUGGGCGUAAAGCGCAUGCAGGCGGCCUGUUAAGUCAGAUGUGAAAGCCCGGGGCUUAACCUCGGAAUUGCGUUUGAAACUGGCAGG
rnacentral:rRNA from 1 species